rnacentral:rRNA from 1 species
GGGGCGACAGCAAUAUGAAGGUCAGGCUGAAGACCUUACCCGAUUAGCUGAGAGGUGGUGCAUGGCCGUCGUCAGUUCGUACUGUGAAGCAUCCUGUUAAGUCAGGCAACGAGCGAGACCCACGUCCACAGUUGCCAGCAUACCCUCCGGGGUGAUGGGUACACUGUGGAGACCGCCGCUGCUAAAGCGGAGGAAGGAGUGGGCAACGGUAGGUCAGUAUGCCCCGAAUCUCCCGGGCUACACGCGGGCUACAAUGGUUGGUACAAUGGGCAUCUACCCCGAAAGGGGAAGGAAAUCUCUUAAAGCCAAUCGUAGUUCGGAUUGAGGGCUGCAACUCGCCCUCAUGAAGCUGGAAUCCGUAGUAAUCGCGUUUCAACAGAACGCGGUGAAUACGUCCCUGCUCUU